rnacentral:rRNA from 1 species
GGCUAACGCUGGCGGCGUGUCUUAGCCAUGCAAGUCGAGCGGACUUAUGGGGUAACUUAUAAGUCAGCGGCGGACGGCGGAGUAACACGUAGCUAACCUACCCUCUGGACGGGGAUAACCUACCGAAAGGUGGGCUAAUACCCGAUGUAGUCAUCCUGUAUAGGGGUGAUGAAAGGUGGGCUUCUGUUUACAAGCUCAUGCUGGAGGAGGGGGCUGCGGCCUAUCAGGUAGUUGGUAGGGUAAUAGCCUACCAAGCCGAUGACGGGUAGCCGGCCUGAGAGGGUGACCGGCCCGAGGGGCACUGAGAUACGGGUCCCACUCCUACGGGAGGCAGCAGGCUAGAAAUUUGGGCAAUGGGGGAAACCCUGACCCAGUGACGCCGCGUGCAGGAAGGAGCCCUUCGGGGUGUAAACUGCUGUCGUGUAGGGAGAAGGGUACUAAGGUGAACAAUCUUAGUACUUGACGGUACUACAGGAGGAAGCCCAGGCUAACCUCGUGCCAGCAGCCGCGGUAAAUAGCGUACU